rnacentral:rRNA from 1 species
AUUGAACGCUGGCAGCAUGCCUUACACAUGCAAGUCGAACGGCAGCACGGGUGCUUGCACCUGGUGGCGAGUGGCGAACGGGUGAGUAAUACAUCGGAACGUACCUUAUCGUGGGGGAUAACGCAGCGAAAGCUGUGCUAAUACCGCAUACGCCCUGAGGGGGAAAGCGGGGGAUCGAAAGACCUCGCGCGAUUAGAGCGGCCGAUGCCUGAUUAGCUUGUUGGUGGGGUAAAAGCCCACCAAGGCGACGAUCAGUAGCUGGUCUGAGAGGACGAUCAGCCACACUGGGACUGAGACACGGCCCAGACUCCUACGGGAGGCAGCAGUGGGGAAUUUUGGACAAUGGGGGCAACCCUGAUCCAGCAAUGCCGCGUGAGUGAAGAAGGCCUUCGGGUUGUAAGGCUCUUUUGUCAGGGAAGAAACACCGGCUCUAACACAGUCCGGGAAUGACGGUACCUGAAGAAUAAGCACCGGCUAACUACGUGCCAGCCGCCGCGGUAA